ACGAAAAGGGGAGCAAUCCCCUUUGAGUGGCGGAAGGGUUAGUAAUGCAUGAGUAAUCUACCUUGUACUUCGGAACAACGGCUGGAAACGGCCGCUAAUACCGGAUGAGGUCACACUGUGGCAUCACAGUAUGAUCAAUGUAGGGGACCGAGAGAUUGGCCUUGCAGUACGAGAGGAGCUCAUGAGGUAUCAGCUAGUUGGUGUGGUAACGGCACACCAAGG
rnacentral:rRNA from 1 species